rnacentral:lncRNA from 1 species
UCUGCUGAACAAAAGGUGUUUGUCAGUAGUAAGGCACACUUUUUGAAAAAAAAAAUUCUUUGUAAAGGAAUAAGUACCUCUAAAAUCGAGCUUGACGAAGUUCGAUUGGUAGAAGAACCGAUACCAAUGAUUGAAUUUGAACUAGAUUUGAUAAGUUCAAAUUCGAAGCCCAAUGAACAAAUAUCCUUAAGGUGAUCUGAUAG